ACCGCAUCACGUUUAAACACCGGUUCUCGUACGAUCAACGAAGCUAAGCAAUGUUGAGCCUGGCCAGUACCUAGAUGGGUGGCCCCUUGGGAAUACCAGGCGCUGUAUG